rnacentral:tRNA from 1 species
UUAAUUGAAGCCAAAAUAUAGGCAUAUUAUUGUUAAUAAUACAUUUGAAAUUCUAAUUUCCAAUUAAA